rnacentral:rRNA from 1 species
UACGUAGGGUGCGAGCGUUAAUCGGAAUUACUGGGCGUAAAGCGUGCGUAGGCGGUUCGUUAAGUUCGUUGUGAAAGCCCCGGGCUCAACCUGGGAAUGGCAAUGGAAACUGGCGGGCUGGAGUAUGGCAGAGGGGGGUGGAAUUCCGCGUGUAGCAGUGAGAUGCGUAGAGAUGCGGAGGAACACCGAUGGCGAAGGCAGCCCCCUGGGCCAAUACUGACGCUCAGGCACGAAAGCAUGGGGAUCAAACAGG